ensembl:lncRNA ATP8B5P ATPase phospholipid transporting 8B5, pseudogene
GGGUCUCUAGGGCGUCUGCGCAGGAAGGUGCGUUGAGAUGGCAGUUGCCGGAGUUGGAGGCCGGGCGGCGACGAAAUUCCAUGGAAUUAUAGUUGGUCUACUCUGCAAUGUCUCUAUUUAAAAGCCCAAGUGAGGACAGACAAGAUGAACGUAGAACAUGAGAGAUAUCUGCAAGCCAACAACAAAGAAUUCAACAGUAUUUUUGGAUAUCCGAACAAUGCCAUCAAGACCUCAAAAUAUAGUGUCUUUAAUUUCCUGCCCCUGAACCUAUUUGAACAGUUCCAGAGACUUGCAAAUGCAUAUUUCCUCAUUUUGCUAUUUUUACAGUUGAUUCCCCAGAUCUCCUCCUUGACAUGGUAUACAACUAUAACACCCCUGAUGGUGGUGCUGUCCAUUAACAGCUGUGAAAGAUGCCAUCGAUGACCUGAAAAGGCAUCAAAGUGACGAUCGAGUCAACAACCAGCCUGUUCUGCUACUGGUGAAUGGCAAGAUAAAGGAGGACAAAUGGAUGAAUGUUCAAGUGGGAGAUAUAAUAAAACUAGAAAAUAAUCAGCCUGUCAUGGCAGAUAUACUAUUACUCUCUAGCAGUGAGCCAUAUAGUCUGACAUACAUAGAGACAGCAGACCUGGAUGGUGAAACCAACCUGAAAGUGAAGCAGGCCAUCUCAGUUACCAGUGACAUGGAAGAUCGCCUGGAGCUUCUGUCUACCUUUAAUGGAGAAGUGAGAUGUGAGGCUCCCAAUAACAAAUUGGACAAAUUCUCAGGAAUACUGACCUAUAAGGGGAAAAACUACUUCCUGGACCAUGACAAGCUGCUACUCUGAGGCUGCAACAUCAGGAAUACAGAUUGGUGCUAUGGCUUGGUGAUCUACACUGGGCCAGAUACCAAAUUAAUGCAGAAUAGUGGAAAGUCCACUUUUAAACGAACACAGAUAGACCAUCUCAUGAAUGUCCUUGUACUCUGGGUAAGUUAAAUACUUUUUUUUCUUUGUUUCUUUACAAAUAGACAUACUUCCCUUCCUUUCACAGGAGAAAUGGUAUUUCCAGUUCAGAAUUUAGCUGUUUGAAAGUCUCAAGCACAGCUUCAAGUGAAGUUAAUCUGAGGUGAAGCAAACAGAAAAUUGUGGAGGUUUUGUUGGUGUGCAAUGGAGGAACAUGGCUCAAGAAACUAAUCACAGCCAAGUACCUAUGCUUUGUUCCACUGGCUGCGGAUUUUAUGGAAACCCUCGUACAAAUGGCACGUGUUCAGUAUGCUAUAAAGAACAUCUUCAAAGACUGAAUAGUAGUAAUGGUAGAAUAAGCCAACCUGCAACCUCUGAAUCUUUACCAGUUCAAUGCACAGAUGGCAGUGUCCCAGAAGCCCAGUCAACAUUAGACUCUACAUCUUCAUCUAUGCAGCCAAGCCCUGUAUCAAAUCAGUCACUUUUAUCAGAAUCUGUAGCAUCUUCUCAAUUGGACAGUACAUCUGUGGACAAGCAGUACCUGAAACAGAAGAUCUGCAGGCUUCAGUAUCAGACAUGGCACAGCAGCCAUCUGAAGAGCAAAGCAAGUCUCUUGAAAAACCAAAACAAAAAAAGAAUCUCUGUUUCAUGUGCAGGAAGAAAGUGGGACUUACUAGGUUUGAAUGCGGUGUAGAAAUGUUUACUGUGGUGUACACUGUUACUCAGAUCUACACAAUUGCUCUUAAAAUUACAAAGCUGAUGCCGCUGAGAAAAUCAGAAAAGAAAAUCCAGUAGUUGUUGGCGAGAAGAUCCAAAAGAUUUGAACUCCUGCUGGAAUACAAAAUUCUUGAUCAUCUGCAAACUAAAAAUUGACUUGAGGUUUUUUUUUCCCUAGUCAUUGGGAAAGUAGAGCAGUGUAUCUUGCAUGUCAUCGGAUGAAUAGAUUUUUGUUUUGAUUUUGUUUUGAAAAUGACUCUGAACAUUUAUUUCCAUUGCAAUUUCUGUGGCUGAGAAGACUUAAACUUUACAAGUAUUAUCCUUAUAAGAUCAUUUUAAUUUUAGUUGAGUGCAGAGGGCUUUUAUAACAAACGUGCAGAAAUUUUGGUGGACUGUGAUUUUUCCAGUAUUAAAUAUGCAUGCAUUAAUCUUGCAGUUUAUUUUCUCAUUGUGUACAUAUAUAUUGCUUUUCUUUGCAGCACGAUUUCUCUUUUGAUAAUGCCCUUUGGGGCACAACUAGUUAUCGGUAACUGAAUGUAUCUUAAUCAUUAUGGCUGCUUCUGUUUUUUCAUUAACAAAGGUUAUUCAUAUGUUAGCAUAUAGUUUCUUUGCACCCACUAUUUAUGUCUGAAUCAUUUGUCACGAGAGUGUGUGCUGAUGAGAUUCUAAGUUUGUGUGUUUAAACUUUUUUUUGAGCGAGGGAAGAAAAAGCUGUAUGCAUUUCAUUGCUGUCUACAGGUUUCUUUCAGAUUAUGUUCAUGGGUUUGUGUGUAUACGAUAUGAAGAAUGAUCUGAAGUAAUUGUGCUGUAUUUAUGUUUAUUCACCAGUCUUUGAUUAAAUAAAAAGGAAAACCAGAAAAAAAAA